UUUAUCUAUCUUUUACAGAUUACUCCAGUUUACCGGAAACGGUUUGCAAACUUCCUUCGCAUGUUUAUUCGAAAAUUCAGUGCGGGCUCAGUUGUGACGGAUUCUGUGCUUGAGUUUAACAACGCAAACGCUAGUCCUAAUCUGACAGAAGUGAAAAACACAUUUGUUGAAGCAAUUACAGCUGGAAAUUUCAACUUUACAGUUGAUAACACAUCCAUCAGUGUUUCCGAUAUCACAACAACCAAUGUAACUACAAAUCCAACUGCAACUACGAGUCAAACUGCAACUUCAAAUACAACUGCAACUACGAGUCAAACUGCAACUUCAAAUACAACUGCAACUACGAGUCAAACUGCAACUUCAAAUACAACUGCAACUACGAGUCAAACUGCAACUUCAAAUACAACUAUAACUGCGAGUCAAACUGCAACUUCAAAUACAACUGUAACUGCGAGUCAAACUGCAACUUCAAAUACAACUGCAACUAC